AUAUCUCUCUGUACGGGAAGGAUGAGAAGCUUCUACCAGGGUUCGAUUCGAGCGCAGCGAGAAAGCGUUGCCGCAGGCAACGACCCGAAGGGC
rnacentral:sRNA from 3 species